rnacentral:piRNA from 1 species
UNUGAGGCCUGUUUAGCUGACUCUGUGGGC